CAGGCUGCGGAAGGAAAUGCAGACAGGGGAGUUAUCGGCAGGCUGGUGGAGGGGCUCUCCCCUGCCCACAAGGGCUCUGCAGACAAUUCAUCACCAUGCAGCACUGCUCGCAGGCAAGAGGACACUGAUUAUGCUCUUUACAGCUUCCAGCAGAUGCUUUUCUCUUUUUUUUCUUCCCUUUUUAAAUCUGGAUGCACUUUGCGAAGAGGCACUGCUCGGUGACUGCCAGCUAGGAGGACUCCCUGGCAGGAGCAACACCAAGCUCUGGGGCCACCGACCCUAAGCACAGAUGCUCUGAGCUACCUGCCUGGGCACACAACAAACCUUCCAACCCCCCGACUUCAACUUCCACCUUCCUUCCCAAGGCCAGGGCAGUUUUUGCUGCUGGUCAGGAUCCCGUGUGGAAAGCCCAGGUCUCCGUGUACCUCAUGCCUCAGCAGUGGCCCUGCUUGCUCCCACUGGAGGGGCUGGAAGGGGUGAGAGCUCACUGCACACCGUGUUUCUGAUCACACAGAAAUUCAGGUUUUGAGAGACCCGGUGGUUUCAACCACUACUCAUUUGUGGCCAUAUCAACGUUAUUUACUUCUGCAUUAGGAACUUGAUCUACACGGGUGUUUAAAAACAUAGAAACAAAAGCAGAGCCACAGAGUGAUGAAGAUAAGUCUCUGUUCUCAGGUGUUAACAGAACAUGAAACAUCAGGUGGGGAGCAGCUUCUCACAACACAGGCAUCAUCUGGCUUUCAUGAGAGAAGAUUCUAUGUGUGAGCGUUUUCAGCUACUGCUGAGAAAAGAUCUGAAACCAGCUAAGGGCUAAGAGAGGCUGGGCAAGAUCACCUGUAUGGUUAGAAUCACUGAAGUCUCCUCGAGACCAGAGUCCAGCUUGCAAGGGGAAAAUAAAUCAUGACCUUUAUCCUCACUGAAUAAAGUCUGAAUAAAGUGUCUGAAUCAAGGCCAACUUCCAGGAAGUAAACACACAUUUUUAGAGGAGAUUUUGUCUCAAGAGCCCUCAAAUAUGCAUCUUGGAAUAUGUGUCACAACAAACACAGCUAGAGAAAGAGCUCUUACUUGUUAUGUGGUAGCCUGGAGCACACAGUUCUCAAGUCAUCUGAAAGAGAGCACAAGAUGUAACAAUGAGGGUAAAGCAGCAAUUCGAGCAAUUUUCCCCUCCACUCUCCUUUCUAAAGGAAGAUUAGUGAAAAGACUCCAGUGAUCCACAGAUCCAGAAUCCCCUUCUCAGGCCAGUAACCUUCCUAGAAGAGACGUUUCUCUACCUCACCAGUCUUACCCCAUUUUUUUGCUGAGAUUAGCUCAGCUUUUCACACUUCACCAUCCCCUGUAGGUUCUGCAUUUAACCCACGCGACCAUGUGGCAAACACAACCUCGUUUCAGGGCAGACCAAGCAUCAGUACAGGAUGUGCAGCUGGCAAAGCGCAGCCCUGCCCGGCUCCACACAUCCUGACUGCGGCCGCUGCCGUUCCCAACACAAAGCUGCUGCCAAGGGAGAGGACAGGUCCCACCUCCCCGCACUUACAGCCACCGCUUCCUCUGCCCCGAGACACCUGAGAUGCUGCAGGCCUCCCAGCACAACAGAAGAGCUGACCAUCAGCACAAUAUCCAAGCGAUCUAGCCACGGGAACACAGCUCCAUCAAUAAGUAACUAAGUUAACGCGAGGUGUGACGCUGCUCGGUGAAUGUGGCUUUCAUGAUGGCAAAUGGAUCGGGGCAAAGGCAAAACACAUCAAAACGUACCCCUAAAACCCUGAACUAACGGGUGUUUCAGCUGCAGCUUAUACUGAACUACCUCACCUUCCACUUAAAAAUGCAAUAAAACAAGCACUCAGGAAGUGCUGAGUGACUCGCUAGGGAGCAGCAGAGCUGAGAACAGCCAUUUACUCCAAAGACUCCACUUUUCUGCCUUCUCUUACUACACCCAACAUUGCUCUCCAGAAGGUUAGGAAGAAGAACACUGAGAUGUGACACGACAGCACCGCUUCAGCCAGGGCCAAAGCCUCAGGCACCUGCUUUGGCGGGGCUGCUCUCCAUGGCUGGGAGCCUGUGCUAAACAUCUGGGCUCUCAGGGAACUCCAGGCCCUCUCACUGCACCAAGAAGCCACCGCCUGUUUUCAGCGCCGCUUCAAGAAAACAGUCUUUCAGAAAGAACUGUUUCUGGAAACAGGAAGGACAGAUGAAAGCCACGUUAGGCUUCUUUAGUAAGUUCAAGACAGACCAUAAUACAGCCUUAUUACAGGAGAACUGAAGGCCCAGAAGCUCCACAUAAACAGUUUUUCUUUUCUAAUUUCUUGUCUAUUGCAUGUACCUCAUGGUCUAUCUGUUUCAUGGUCUCUUGUCCAGCAGGCAAACUUGGAGAAGACAAAGUGAAAAGCAAUGUAACGGUGCUUUUUAGAUAGCUACAAGCAAUUCCUGGCCCCAGACUGCUUAGGAGGAACAGAGCUGUCCUGGAAAGUAACUUGAGGCAGCCAGGAGCAAGCUCUGCUCGUGCUCUCAGCCAGAGCAAGCAGCAGUCCCAAAUGCAGAGCCAACACUGCCUCAUCGCCCUGCUGCAGCAGUGACAUUUGACAGAAGCUCACGCAGCACCGCAUGACUGGGCAUCAGUGGAGGAUUUCACACUGCUCAGGCUCACACUGCUCUGCUACACGCCUGUAUCUGAACUAGACAUUGCAGUCAGUCACAGGCUUCCAGCACAAGAAAUGCUUUCAGUACUUUCUUCCUGCUGUACAUACGAUGAUAUACACGUGACUCGACUCCUGGAGCCGGUUAUGAGCUAGCCCAGACGGUUUUAACACGCAGAAACGCAGACUGAGUGCACCUAACAGCAUGCCUGGGCUUACGUAUCCUAACAGUUCUCUGCUGCCUCUGGUUUUGGGCCAGAACUCUGCCCCAGGGAGCCCAGCACAGCGCUGCUGGAGGCCUGCACCGUGCAAGGCAACUCGGAGCAGACUCCUCUGGCUCCUGGGCAUCACCUUUCACGUUUCAAAGCAAGUUUGAAAAGCUGACAAAAAAAGAAAUCAGGCUUGUAGUGUGCACACUGGGACAGGUGCCGUGGUCCCAUGUGACGCAUCUGCUCUCUGCUCCCCAGUGGCUGCUCCUGGAAUUGUUUCCCAAGGCCGGGAGAGUUGAGGAGAGGAUGCAGGACCCUCGCAAACAGCCACAGCAGGCCCCACGGCUCAGGCCAGCUGGGAGCCACUGCCGUUCCCAGCCAGGUAACUGCUGUUAUGUCUGACCUACUGAGGGUCAGCGCAGGCAAGGCGACCUUUCUCUCUGUGUUCUGGUACCAACCACACAGCUCACACUUGUGUGGGAGCUCUGAAUAUGCUCAGUUUGGCCCCAAGCCAGACACCCAGAUAUAUCCAGCAUUCUGCAUGCUAGGUAGAAGAUCAAUUCUCCAGCUCUGCAAGACAACAGACAGGUUAAUUACAUCGAUUACUUUUUUUCCUUACUCCCCAUCUUGUUAUUCUUCUCAAAAUAUUUCCUGCACCACACUCUAACAUCGUUUCCUACGAGCAGCUGGCUGCUACUGCUGCUAAAAAUGUGUUGAUCUUGGUUCCCUCCACCCCAAAACUCCCUACCAUGACACCCACAUGUUGAAAGAAAAGAAUCCAACAUCAGGGUCUUUGGCAGCCCCCUCAACAACUUACCUC